rnacentral:lncRNA from 1 species
GGCAGGUGCACAAUGUUUCCUUGGGAAUCCUCAGCAGGGCACGUCUGGCUUUUACCACCCAGUUGCUUCGAGCCAGGAGAUGGAGGAGUCAUCUGUUGCACGCUGGAGGCUGGAGCCUGCAGAUGGCAUGGUUCUGUGGCUCACCUCGCUGCAGUUGGUGGCAGAGACAGAGACUGCAGCUUGACCAGAGUGGUGGAGUGGUUGGAGUGCAGUGGCAUGAUCUUGACUCACUGCAACCUCCACCUCCCGGGUUCAAGCCAUUCUCUUCCCUCAGCCUCCUCAGUAGCUGGAUUACAGGUACCUCCCACCACACCCAGAUAUGUAUCUCAAGAGCACUCCACAACAAAGAUUCUGCCUGCAAUCCUCCACUUCAAGGUCUGUUCCAGGAAACCUGUGUAACACAGUUAUGCAUAGAGUGGUCUUAGGAAGCUGACUCUAACAUGAAAAUUUAGAGUUGGAUCUUUUGCUGACAUAUUGAAUAUUCAUAAGAGCAUAUGAUACAUUUGUCUAUCAUAAACAUGUCAUUUCAAAAAACCCUCAAAGUUGCCUUGUAGAACAUAAUUUUAAAACUAGUGUGUAGGAAUAUUUCAUAUCAGUUAUUCAGUCUUCUUAAUAUCUGAACCGAAAUUAAUCUUCCAUUCUGCUUUUAUUUAUAAAUAAUGAUUUAUUGUCAGAUUCAAUAAUUUAUAUUUUCAUUUAUUCUAAGGUAGGAAAUACCAGCAUAAAAAUAAAUUAUUUGAAACAAAUCACAUUGUUGUCCCAUUUUACCAUUACUCACAUGUAGAAGAUAUUGUUUUUAACAAAAACAAUAAGAGAAACAGAAACUACCAUUUAUUAACUGAUGCUUACUGGAAGCUUUAGAAGGAUCUUAUUUAACUUUCAAUCAAGUUUUUCAUGGACAUUUUUGUUAUUGAGAAAUAAUUUUAAUUUAUCAGAUCCUCAAAGCAAAUUAUAUAGGUGCCAUUAUUAACAGAUUUUUUAAAAAAACCUGAUUCAUAGAAAAGGUUAAUGAUAUGGUUUGGAUCUUUGACCCCAUCAAAUCUCAUGUUGAAUUGCAAUCCCCAGUGCUGGAAGUGGGGCCUGGUGGGAGCUGAUUAAAUUAUGGAGGUGGAGUUCUCGUGAAUGGUAUAGCACCAUUCCUUUGGUGCUGUCUUGUGGUUGAGUUUUCAUGACAUUUGGUUGUUUAAAAGUUUGUGGCAUCUUUCCCAUCUCUCUCUUGCUCUUCCUGCAGCCAGGUGAAGGGCUGUUCCCCCUUUGCCUUCUGCCAUGAUUGUAAAUUUCCUGAGGCCUCCCCAAAAGCUGAGCAGGUGUCAGCAUCAUGCUUCCUUAACAGCCAAUGGAAUUACGAGUCAAUUAAAUCUAUUUUCCUUAUAAAUUACAAGUCUUCAGUUUUUCUUCAUAGCAGUGAGGAAAUGAACUAAUUCAGCUAGUAAAUGACAAAUGCCAUAAAAAUAGCAAAUAGCA